rnacentral:lncRNA from 1 species
UCGAGUGCCCCUAUACAUAGGGGCAGUCUUCCCUUCAGGUAUUCUUCUGAUUCUAGAGCUUUUACCUCUAGUCCAGAGUUCCCAUCCUUAGCCGUGUAUAGGAUACGUCUCCUUGGGGUGUGUUGGUGGAAAAUCUGCAUGGCCCACAGAUGUGAAGAGGUGCAAGGCCCAGAAUAGCCAGGGCCAAUCUCAGAGAGCAUAGAACCAAGCCCG